rnacentral:rRNA from 1 species
CCUACGGGAGGCAGCAGUGGGGGAUAUUGCACAAUGGGGGGAAGCCUGAUGCAGCGACGCCGCGUGGGUGAAGAAGCGCCUCGGCGCGUAAAGCCCUGUCAGCAGGGAAGAAAAUGACGGUACCUGAAGAAGAAGCCCCGGCUAACUACGUGCCAGCAGCCGCGGUAAUACGUAGGGGGCAAGCGUUAUCCGGAUUUACUGGGGGUAAAGGGGGCGCAGACGGCGAUGCAAGCCAGGAGUGAAAGCCCGGGGCUCAACCCCUGGACUGCCCUUGGAACUGCGUGGCUGGAGUGCAGGAGGGGCAGGCGGAAUUCCUGGUGUAGCGGUGAAAUGCGUAGAUAUCAGGAAGAACACCGGUGGCGAAGGCGGCCUGCUGGACUGCAACUGACGUUGAGGCCCGAAAGCGUGGGGAGCAAACAGGAUUAGAUACCCCAGUAGUC